rnacentral:tRNA from 1 species
GCGCCCGUAGCUCAGCUUGGAUAGAGCACUGGCCUUCUAAGUCAGGGGUCGAAGGUUCAAAUCCUUCCGGGCGCG